rnacentral:rRNA from 1 species
GAUGAACGCUGGCGGCGUGCCUAAUACAUGCAAGUCGAGCGAACGGACGAGAAUCUUGCUUCUCUGAUGUUAGCGGCGGACGGGUGAGUAACACGUGGAUAACCUACCUAUAAGACUGGGAUAACUUCGGGAAACCUAAUCUAAUACCGGAUAAUAUUGUGAACCGCAUGGUUCAAAAGUAAAAGACGGUCUUGCUGUCACUUAUACAUGGAUCCGCGCUGCAUUAGCUAGUUGGUAAGGUAACGGCUUACCAAGGCAACGAUGCAUAGCCGACCUGAGAGGAUGACCGGCCACACUGGGACUGAGACACGGCCCAGACUCCUACGGGAGGCAGCAGUAGGGAAUCUUCGACAAUGGGCGAAAGCCUGACGGAGCAACGCCGCGUGAGUGAUGAAGGUCUUCGGAUCGUAAAACUCUGUUAUUAGGGAAGAACAUAUGUGUAAGAAACUGUGCACAUCUUGACGGUACCUAAUCAGAAAGCAACGGCUAACUACGUG